rnacentral:rRNA from 1 species
GACGAACGCUGGCGGCGUGCUUAACACAUGCAAGUCGAACGGAAAGGCCCUGCUUUUGUGGGGUGCUCGAGUGGCGAACGGGUGAGUAACACGUGAGUAACCUGCCCUUGACUUUGGGAUAACUUCAGGAAACUUGGUCUAAUACCGGAUAGGAGCUCCUGCUGCAUGGUGGGGGUUGGAAAGUUUCGGCGGUUGGGGAUGGACUCGCGGCUUAUCAGCUUGUUGGUGGGGUAGUGGCUUACCAAGGCUUUGACGGGUAGCCGGCCUGAGAGGGUGACCGGCCACAUUGGGACUGAGAGACGGCCCAGACUCCUACGGGAGGCAGCAGGGGGGAAUAUUGCACAAUGGGCGGAAGCCUAAUGCAGAAACGCCGCGUGCGGGAUGACGGCCUUCGGGUUGUAAACCGCUUUCGCCUGUGACGAAGCGUGAGUGACGGUAAUGGGUAAAGAAGCACCGGCUAACUACGUG